rnacentral:rRNA from 1 species
UACAGAGGUCCCGAGCGUUGUUCGGAUUUAUUGGGCGUAAAGGGUGCGUAGGUGGCAAGGUAAGUUGGAUGUGAAAUCCUGGGGCUUAACCUCAGAAUUGCAUUCAAUACUGCCUAGCUAGAGAGCUGUAGAGGAGACUGGAAUUUACGGUGUAGCAGUGAAAUGCGUAGAUAUCGUAAGGAACGCCAGUGGCGAAAGCGAGUCUCUGGGCAGCAUCUGACACUGAGGCACGAAGGCCAGGGGAGCAAACGGG